CUUGAGCCGUGGCUUUCGGAGCUAACGCGUUAAGUAGACCGCCUGGGGAGUACGGUCGCAAGAUUAAAACUCAAAUGAAUUGACGGGGGCCCGCACAAGCGGUGGAGCAUGUGGUUUAAUUCGAUGCAACGCGAAGAACCUUACCUACUCUUGACAUCCAGAGAACUUUCCAGAGAUGGAUUGGUGCCUUCGGGAACUCUGAGACAGGUGCUGCAUGGCUGUCGUCAGCUCGUGUCGUGAGAU
rnacentral:rRNA from 4 species